rnacentral:lncRNA from 1 species
GAAGAACAGAGAAACAAUAGAAUUUCUUUGUUUUGAAAUUUCAAACUCUUGCAUGAUGACUCUCCUCUCAGUUGUAAAAAGUUGACUCAGUUCUGUAUUCCGAGAGAAAUCUCACAAGUGUUAGUGUUCCUUCUCCUUCAGUACCUUCAGAUGAUCAUUUGCUGACAGAGACAUAGGCUCAGUACAUGAAAUGAUCCAGAGUCAGGUUUCAUUGUUUUUGUAGAAGGUUAUAUUUAGGCAACUUAUUUCUAGCAAUGCCUGGUUCUUAAUCCCCUAUGGCAUGUUUGAGAUGUUAGGAAACGUUUGCUCGGCUCUUUAAGCACAUAUGGGAGCUGGCACUAUAAAAACUGUUGUAAGGAGGUGAACAGAUUCCUUUGAAUGUGAGCUGGAUGGCUGUGAGGAAGAACUACAAAAGGUUUGCAUAGCGGGUACCUAUGCGGAGGGUUCCACUUGGAAAUUGUUGGCUGUGUAUGUAUAGCUUUGAUUUCAUCAGGAAACAUUCUGUUAAGAGAGGUGCCCCUUAAUAUUCCAGUGCACAUUUUUCCUUUGUUUGCUUCAUUGGGAAGUAUCCCUUAUGUACCAAGUAUGUGAAACAUAUAUUGUACUUCAUGUCUAAUGGCAGAUUUUUAUUUUAAUUUGCUCAGUUUAAAAUACAAAAAAAAAAGUUGAUUAAGGAAAACCAUUUAGCAAAUUAGGUUCAUAACAUGAAUGUUGAUUGCUGUUAAUAGAUAUUGACUGCAAAUCAUAAAUAUAUAGGACACACAUCCUUAGUCCCAGCACUCAGGAGGCAGAGGCAGGUAGAUCUUUGUGAGUUCCACGCCAGUCUGGUUUACAUUGCUAGUUCUAUACCAGUCAGGACUAAAUGGACACUGUCUCAAAAAACAACAUCAAGAAAAGGUCUCUUUUAUUAUAACACUUCAGACAACCUUAUGUAUGCUAAAGGGCACUGUGAUGUUCAAGACAAAUAUAGCUUUUGCUAUAUUUACCCAAGUUAUAACAAGAUAAUUUCAAAACAAACUACAUUAAUCAGGCUUUUAAUUUUCUAUCUUUCUGAUAUUUUGAUACUAGAAGGUUUUGUUGAUCCUGGAUCCUGCCCUUCCCAAAGCCAAUUUCUAAGAAUGUUAUAACUGAUGUCUCUGAUAUGACACAUGUGCAAUAUGACUCAUGCGGUGGAUGAUAUUCUGGUAUAAAUGUAUAUGCAUUUAAAUAGAUAAAUAGAGGUAAAAUACAUCUAGAAACAUGGAAAUAGUUUAUAAUAGUCAAUUAUUAUCUUCAAUAUAUAAAGAUGUCAUAUUUCUUUGACUCUUAAUAAAAUUACCUACAUUCACGUAGCUAUCUGCUUCUUUUUUCCCAACUUAAAUUUACUAAUGAAAUGAAAAUGGAGGUUAGAAAUCAACUUUUGUCUUUAUACUUCUAUUUACUAGCCUGGUCCCCAGACUUGUACCUGUCAGUGAGAAACUGAAAGAGCUCUCUAGAAAUAUAGCACAUUAAAAUAAUUAAAAAUAUUCUAUAAAGAAAAUAAUUUCCCUCCUGAGUCCUACUGUAUUCCUCAUUAACAGUUUCCAAACAAAUGUUCUGUGACCAGCAGGUGCAUUAG